UUCUGAAAAAUGGAAAAACGACAAAAAAAAAAAACAAAACAAGAAAACCCAAGGAUUAUUAAAAAAAGAAAGAAAAAAAAACAAUGACAAAGCUGCUUGCCAUGUAAGCGUAACCUGGAGUUUAUUUUGUAAGUCUUACAUUAUUUGUAUCUGUGGGACUGGUUUGUAAAUCGCGAGGAGAGACUCAGUCAUACUGUACCGAGGAGCGCCGCCAUCCGGAGACUACGAGCCAGAGGCGUCCCACUACUGAUAGAUUCGAUUGGUGACCCCCCAGCCCCCUUCUCCCCCCUCCCCUCAAUUCGUAGUAAAGACAAAGUUUAACGACAUAGUUAAUUUAUUUUUCUAUGCAGGAUUAUUUAAAGAGUUAUUGGUAUUAUUUAAAAAAUAAAGAGUAUCACACAAAUGAAGGACUUGGCAGAAAGAUGCACUAGAGGUUCGUUCAGGCCACCAGAAGCGACGAGUCAAGCUGUUUUCUCUUUGUUUUAAAAAAAAACAGAAACU